GUUAGGAAUCUUCCACAAUGGGGGCAACCCUGAUGGAGCAACACCGCGUGCUGGAUGAAGGCCUUCGGGUCGUAAACAGCUUUUGUAUACGAAGAAUAUGACGGUAAUAUACGAAUAAGGGUCGGCUAACUACGUGCCAGCAGCCGCGGUCAUACGUAGGACCCAAGCGUUAUCCGGAGUGACUGGGGGUAAAGAGUUGCGUAGGCGGCUUAUUAAGCGAGUAGUGAAAUCUGGUGGCUCAACCAUCAACACAUUGCUCGAACUGAUAGGCUUGAGAAUGGUAGAGGUAGUUGGAAUUUCUUGUGUAGGAGUGAAAUCCGUAGAUAUAAGAAGGAACACCAAUGGCGUAGGCAGACUACUGGACCAUUUCUGACGCUGAGGCACGAAAGCGUGGGGAGCGAACCGGAUUAGAAACCCCGGUAGUCC
rnacentral:rRNA from 1 species